GACAAACACAAGAUAGAGGGGGAAUUAUAUUUCAUUGGAAUGUAAAAUGUUUACAUGGAUUUGUCUCAUUAAAAACCUUGCCUCCAGUGUGGCGCCCCCUAGCAAGGAAAAGAGUAUGGUCUGUUCGCGGAAAAGUAAAUAUGAUAAAGUAAAUUUGGUGCCCUCGACGUUGUUUAUAGAUUCACAACUCAAAGGCUUGUGGGUGUAGUGACUAUGGGUAAUACUUGCGCCAGCUAUCCACAUUCUUGCUCCAAGCUAAUCUGUGAGGUAAAAGGAUCCUAGCCUAUUGCUUCGAGUGACAACAUAUGGCCCUUCUCAAGUUUCUUGCAACUUUCCGAGGUUCUCCUAGUUUUUUCUCUUUUUUAUAACCAGGUCUCCCACCUUGAUUUCUUUUUUGACUACCUUCUUAUCUCUCCACUUUCUUGUUUCU
rnacentral:lncRNA from 1 species